rnacentral:rRNA from 1 species
UACGUAGGGGGCGAGCGUUGUCCGGAUUUACUGGGCGUAAAGCGCGUGUAGGCGGCUGUUUAAGUUGGGUGUGAAAGCCCGGGGCUCAACCCCGGGACGCCGCCCAAGACUGGACGGCUUGAGGACGGAAGAGGGGCGUGGAAUUCCUGGUGUAGCGGUGAAAUGCGUAGAUAUCGGGAGGAACACCAGUGGCGAAGGCGACUACCUGGCCUGUUUCUUGACGCUGAGGCGCGAAAGCUAGGGGAGCAAACGGG